GACGAACGCUGGCGGCGUGCUUAACACAUGCAAGUCGAACGGAAAGGCCCUGCUUUUGUGGGGUGCUCGAGUGGCGAACGGGUGAGUAACACGUGAGUAACCUGCCCUUGACUUUGGGAUAACUUCAGGAAACUGGGGCUAAUACCGGAUAGGAGCUCCUGCUGCAUGGUGGGGGUUGGAAAGUUUCGGCGGUUGGGGAUGGACUCGCGGCUUAUCAGCUUGUUGGUGGGGUAGUGGCUUACCAAGGCUUUGACGGGUAGCCGGCCUGAGAGGGUGACCGGCGACAUUGGGACUGAGGUACGGCCCAGACUCCUACGGGAGGCAGCAGUGGGGAAUAUUGCACAAUGGGCGGAAGCCGGAUGCAGAAACGCCGCGUGCGGGAUGACGGCCUUCGGGGUGUAAACCGCUUUCGCCUGUGACGAAGCGUGAGUGACGGUAAUGGGUAAAGAAGCACCGGCUAACUACGUG
rnacentral:rRNA from 1 species